GGUUGAAUGGCUUUGCAUUUCUUGGGUCAGUCAGAGGUCUGGAUCAUUCCUUUGAUGCAUCUGUUGAGCACUGGAUUGCUGGUGGUCCUGCUGUGUUACCUCCACUCAGAGGCAAGAGAUGCACACAGCUUCACUUCUGGUAUCCUUGCUUGCUCAUCUGGCCAUUGUCAAGGCAGCUGUCAUCCGGGAGCCCUGGAGCUGCAAUGCAGAAGUAAGUAUCACUACCUUCAAUUUUACAGAUCAGAAAACUGAAACAGAAAUGUAAAAUGAAUCACUUCAGAUCUACUUUUCUUGUGGUGCCAUCAUUUAUAAUGUUCAGCUCUGAUCCGCACAAGUUUAUCUAUUUGACCCUAGUGCUUUUCUGCCCUUUUGGGGGGCAUUUCUUUGAUCAUUGUCAGCGUAUAUCCUCUGACAGAGCCCUGUUAGAUUUGCACAGUGGGGAGAUAAAACAAUGAGUGUGUAAGUACAGACAUGUAGCUCAUCACAAUGACAUGGCAGUAAUGCACUGAGUUCAGCUCACCCUGGAAGAUGGUCUGAUCCUUGAUAGAUUUAUCACAGCCAAAGACGUGAUUACCAAUCCCACUGCAGAUUUCUUCUAAGUUACUACUUUUCUUAAAGGCACAACGUGUCCCAAUACUUUCUGUUAGAAUUGUGAAUACUUUUGUUUCUUCUUGAAGACCCAAUGGAUUUUUUUCCAUAAACAUUUCUGAAGCCCUUUGAUUCUGGGAGGCCAUUCCAGCACAUAUAAUUUUCUCAAAAUCUUAAUCACUUUACAAAAGCAGUUUUUCUACAUCUCUGUGCCCAGAGACACUGCUGAUGCCCCAUCCCUGCAGGAGGGUUGGAACUAGGUGAUCUUCAAGCUCUCUUCCAACCCAAGCCAUUCUGUGUUUCUGCGAUAUUGUGCAGUUGCAAAUAUUCCUGUUGAACGCUUAAUUCUCUGUAGUAUUCCAACUUAGAUUUCAUCAAAGCGAGUAGAAAAAUUGAAGUUAAGUUCCUGUUACACAUAAAAGUGAAGAACAUAAGGGUUUUAAAAAAGAACAUAUGGAUACAAAUGUACAUAUUUAAACAAACAUGUUCCAAUCAGCUCAGAUUUUUCUGUUCUUUCUCCUGUGAUCAAAAUGUGAUAAGACACGGUGGAUACUGAAGUCCCUACAGGGCCAGAUCUGAGUCUUGCAAAAGAUGUUAGGAAAAUUUCCAGUGAUUUUUCUGAGUCUCAGACCAGAUCUUUGUUGUUGCGAAAACAUCAGUGAACAACAAUUCAUCUGUGUGCAAAACUCCUGUAUGUAGUUCCAGAUGCCAAAAAUUCUCUAUGCAAUUUCAAUUCUAUUUUGAAUGUAUACUUCUUCCGCUAAAUGACUUAUUAUAACCUAUGCAAAAUAACCUUAACAAAAUACAAGAAAUGUACAGCCAGGACAGUGAAUCUGUAGAGGUGAGAACAUGAACAGAGAAUUUGCCAUGGAAAUGAACAUUGAUUUUUAUGCUUUCUAUUUUUUUUCUGAUGCAGUUCUCAGAGAAUAAAUAGGAGACUCAGUUUUAAAGGGAACGGUGCUAGUCAGCUUAUACACCGCUUUCUGAGAUCCUUCUCUCAAUGUACAGGGAAAUAACUCAGUUACUAAGUACCUUAGUGUCUCCAGAGUUACAGCACCUAUGUGAGAUGAGAAUCUGUUCCUGCAGUAUGUCUUUAAUAUCAAACAUUCAGGCAAUUCAAGAUUUUAGCACUGGAAUAUCCAAAUCUCAUAAAGAUGAGUAAUGCUAUGAUUGCAGAUGUCUUCUGUGGUGUUCAUGUGCUGCUUGUUUGUGGAGAAGGAUCAUUUUUAUACCUUAAGAAAGAAUAGCCAUCUCCCUGAGGUACCUUCUAAUGAUGCCACAAGCGCAUUGCAAUACAUAGUUAAUGGCAGCUUUGUAUUGAUAAUGGACUUCUAUGAAUCAUGAGGAGCAUUAAAAAGAAAACACUUUCUUAUCUGUAUGUUCAGAUGCUUUCUAAUUGCUCACGUGUAUUUCAAAUAACUUUGCAAUUCCUUGUAUUGCAUUAUUCAGAUUUCCUAGUGUCUCACAGAAAAAUAAUUGAAACGCAACCAAAAGAUUAUCUUGUUAAUAAAGGAUAAGAACGUGCACAUGUACAUUGCCCUCAAUUUUAUUUUCUACUUUCAAAUGUAGCUAUUUUUCAUCUGUAAUAGGUUGUAGAUGUACCAACUUCUCAAUAACAGUAGAACUGAGGGGAAAAACAUAGAGCAUUAAAACAACAAGAAAAAAUAUUGAGUAUUUUCUGGUGAAGCGGAUUGUGUUAGAAACUAUCAUUCAAAUUCCAGUGAGAGCUGAGGACUUCCCAGAUCUCACAUUCUCAACACAGACUGUAGGGCUCACUGUUUCCUGUACUGCACAGUCCUGGGGAUGUUCUACAGCUACUGACAGCUAUAUUUGAAGUGCUGGAAGAUUUAAAGGAAAAUACCUUUAUAAGAACACUUGUAUUGUUCAUCUUAAUAUUUAAGCUAAAAUGUCCCUUGUUUUCUUGUGGGGAAAAAGAACAUGAAUGGAAAGAAAAGAGCAUGUGAUAGGUGCCAUCUGUUCUCUCUUUCUCUCCCCCUUGCUCUCCCCUCUCCCAUAUUUUUCCUCUAAAAAAAAAAAAAUAUAUAUAUAUAUAUAUAUUUAUAUAUAUAUAUAUAUAAAUUGAAAUUGGUAACUGUGGUUACCUGCCAGGCCUCUUUCAGGGAACAAAGUGAGACAGAAGGGUAGCAGGACUGUGGGUUGCCUGAGGGCCUAGGGAUGAAAUCUCACUUCUGUGCUAGAUGGUCACAACUCUUGGCUAUUCAGUCAUGAGACAGCAAAGGCUUUCAAGGAUCAACAACAAAUUUAUGGUAAAGCAAAAGCAAGAAAAGAUAUGAGGAGUUUCCUGCAAGAGGAUAUUUCCAACAUGAGCUUGUCCAUCCACUGCUGCUGGAAAAGACAAAUUUGCAAAAUUUCAGGCUCUCAAUAGGUCAUCCAGUCUUCCUCCUACAAACAGAAUAUCUGCUCUGGUCCUGACAGUUGUUUGUCUAGUCAGUACUCAAAGAUCACCAUUGAUGGAGAUCAUUCUGCCUCCAGGCAAUCUGUAUUCUAUAUCUCUUUUCCUGAGAGAUUUUUCUUUGUAUGUGUCUUGAAUAUUCUGUGUAGCUGCUACUUGACCUAUUCACUGAGGACAUGGAAAAUAUUUUUUCUUUUUUCAUAAGGAGUUUGCAAGUCAACACACCUGAUGGUUUUUUUUGUUGUUGUUUUUUUGUAUCUUGCAUUUUUCAAUGUGUGAUGUGUACCAGUAAGAGCAAUAAUGGGAAUUCAGAUCUGAAAACAGUGCCUGACUCUACUGUACCAUCAAUUGUCAGCUGUGGAUGCUAAAAGACCUAAAAGUUUGAAGUUCAGACUGGAGUUCAGAUGGUGUAUUUUGGCUGGGGUCCAGCAUUACUAGAAAUCCAUCUUGACGUAGAGAGAGCAGCCGUAACAAGCUGGGCUGAUGGGCUGCCAGCCAGGCUCUUCUAAAGUAGUGGAAGAAACCUGUUUCAUGAGUUGGGUAUAAACUAUUUAACAGAGCCAGAGACAAAAUGCAUCCCAACAUCAAUGUCCAGGAUUACCAGCUGCUCACACAGCUUGUCUGGGGGCAUCCAGAAUGCCAGGAAAUGCCUGGUAGCUGUCGUGUAUGUGUGUGUGUGUGUGUAUAUAUAUAUAUAUAUUCUGUGAGGCACAAAGAAAUUGCAUCAAGGACUUUCAAACUACAAAACAUCAGAAAAUGCUACGAAAUACUUUUGGAAGUCAAAAACACUUUGAGGAGUAAUCUCGGCCUCAUAGGACAGCAUCCAUGAUGCUGGACACUUGGUUCCCAUUCCAGUUUUUGCCACUCAAGUAUGGAUGCAAAAUACAGAGGCAUAUUGUCUGCUGUCAUAACUCAUCUGCGAAGCAGAUGUUUCUUUUGGGGGAAUUAUUCAUGCUAAAGAUCACACUUCAAAGUAAACAAUAAUUGUCAUUUGUUGCCUGUUAAAAAAAGAAAAAAAUGAAAGCUGGAAAUCAAACUAAUGAGUACAUUUCCUCAAGGGAACAGACAGAACUGGGAAUAUGAUCAUUUUGCAAAGCUUCUGAUAAAUACAUAGGUUGCUCUGAAAGAAAUGCUGCUUUAUUUCUGUGGCAACUACACUGGAUGCAAAGAACACGAUAACACUGAUAGAGCACAUUUUCAGCUACAAAACACUUUUUCAACAUAGUCACCACCAUUAGCUGUGUAUUUUUGCCAACUAUGAAGAGGACUCUGCGUGCUGUGCACAAAAAAUUCUGCACAAGCAGAUGCGACCCACUGUUUCACAGCUGUUACGGUGGCAUCACUGCUAGGAAAAUGUUGCCUACGCGGUCCGUCUGAACAGAUGGAAGUUGGAAGGCACCAAUUCCAACUGUAUGGUGGAUGUGGUGGGACAGUCCAGCCAAGAUUGACAAUGUGUUCCAUGGUCUUCAAACUGGUACAGGGCCUGGCGUUACUGGAUUGUGAGAGAAAUGUUGUCGUCUUCUCUGGCCUGACUCUAUUAGUUUGAGCCCCCAGCUCAGUGAGCAUUGUGAUGUAGCAGUCAGGAUCUGCACUCUACCUUAGCUUUGUGAACCCAGUUCUGGAUAUAAUGUCUCAAUUUACACAGGCCAGGAAGUCUGCAAAGAGAGUAAGCUACAGUAGAUUUUCUGAUGAGCCACUGCUUUACAGCCUCCUGGUUAAGACUUCAUUUCAGGAAGCUAAUAUGACUUUAUAAAAACCAAAAGUAGCUGCAUUUGAACUUACUAUAUGGUUUAUCCCACAGGACAGUUCUCAACUACCUUGAGUCAAGUACAGGUUGAAUGGUGGCCUCUAAGAGUUCAUGAAUAACAUGGGAAAUCAGACUUGUCAUAUGGUUCUGGGACUCAGACACUGUGUCUCUACUAAUAAGUUAAAUGGUGCCAAGGAACGUUCCCAGGAGCUGGACCCAGGCUGUCUGUCUGUGUAGCUGCACUGCCAGAGCGAUCCUUUUGCCAUAGAGAUGCAGACCUCUAUUUUGAUAUUUGAUAUUUUGGAUUUGCUGAAUGACCACAGCCAACAAAAUUAUUUCAUCAGCUAGUUUCUGACCUUUAAUAUCUGACCAUAUAUUUUAAAGUGUGAGAGAUACCUAUUUUACAUUUACUCCAGCUCCAUAAGGAAUGCUGUACGGACAGGAAUUCAGCAGAAAAUUUCCACUUAUUUACCAUUUACUGUCACUGAAAUUCAAGAAGUUAUUUCAAAAAAUGAGGAAAAAAUACUGUGAUUUCUACUAUUUGUUUCUUCUUGGAAGUUCCAUGGAUCAUUUAUCAAUGAACAAAAGGCUAAUUAAAAGGCUAGACCUAGUGCAAUUACUUUGAUGAACUUUGAGAGUGGUUGUUUAAUGCCAUAGCCUUCAUUAUGUUAUGCUAAAUAUGUUCUCUGCAAGUUUGCAUCCCAAAGAUGAUGCUGUUUUUGUUGGACUAGCUUGAGGAAAAAUGCUGUAUGUUUGAGCUCUUGGGAUGAGUGUCUUACUUGGAAGGUAGGAAGAAAAUGUUGAUGUUCUCUGGAUUUGUGUGUGUUAAAGCUGACAAUUCAAGACAUGUCUGUGGUAGUUUUAUUCCUUAGCUCCUAACAGAAACCUGUCUCCCUGAGCUGAUUCCAGAUUUAUAAGCACAGUGUGUACAUUGUUACAGCACAGAGCGCAGGAUAAUUAAACAGCUGCUUAGCACUGAGCUCCUUCAUUCUUCAAUAAGCAGAUGUUUUGUCUUGUUGCUGAUUUCAAACAACCCACGAUAACAUACUAUAUGCAUAGCAUUACUCAUAUUUUUAAUAUUUUGGUGCGUUCCUAUCCAAAGAUCAAAGCUCCAUGCCCCAUUACAUGAGGUUCUGCACAGGCCGUUAGCACAGAAGAGAUCUUAAGUGAGUGCCAAUCAGUGCGUCUCCACUGAAUCCAGGGGAGCAACAGCAGUUCGCGCUGGCUGACAUUUCCCUUGCAGAUGUCAGACGAGAUGCCAUGAUUUACAUACCAAUGGCGGUGAGUGGGAGGAUGAAGUAACAAGAGGAGCAGAAAUGUGCAGGGAUGCAGAAGUCGGAGCUUGCCAUUUGCCUUUCUCCUGCAGCUGAACAAUGGCAAUCUGAGUUAUUCAUUCCCAUCCACCUCUUAACAACAGGAUUCGCUUCUGAUGAUAUCUUGUGGCCUUUUGAGUAUGUUAGCAGAGGAACUAGAUUCUUUUCUGUAUUUGCCUUCUGUGUUAUCAGACACAAUAAGCAAUUCCCAAAAGGCAGAUGAGGUGAAUAAAGCAAAGUAUCAGGUUAAAUGAUGUAUAUUCCUUAUCCAUUUAGGAAGGUGUUUAUGCAUCGUCGUUUUAUGCUUUGUAUUUGCUGGAUUUAUGAGUGGCAUUUGUGUGCAGAGCCAUGAAAGCAGAUGGAGCCCCAAAGGAGGAGCCCUUCUAUCCCACCCUGUUUGUGGUCUCCCUGUCUGCUGCUGAAGCUGCUUCCUGGGGCAGUGCGUUCAGCAGCUGCUAAGAGCGUGUAAAUAGAAGGAGAAAUGUUAUAAAUGUCAGGAAGUGGCAGCCAGACUGUUCCAAGGUUGCGUACUGCGUGCUUGUGAAGCAAGAUGGCCUGACUCCAUUAUCAGUGUUGUCCAUCAAACGCUGAUUUCCAAAGGUCUGUAUCUUCCACUUACUGAUAUUUCCAUUUGUGUACUUCACUGGGAAGAGUUUCAGACAAUGUUGAUAAUUUUGGACUUCCUGAUCCUUAGGAGGAAUAAAUUUGCCCUGCUAGGGAACGCACUGUUCCUAUCCCUAACUGAGUUAUACGCAUUCGUACGUAAUCUCAGUAUAACUAUAAUGGGAAUACAAUUUAUACUUUAAUUUAUGCUUGUUCUCUGGUUGGGAAAAUGCCCAUGAACUGUGAGGAAGCAGAUCUGCUUGUUCUAUAGAUAAACUGUUGUUGUAUGUGGUUCACAUCCUGCAUUUUUAUGUAUCGUUCCAAUUCCUCAGCUGUUUCCAAUUCAUGUACCUUUCUGAAAGUGAAUGAAGCAGCUGUGCCAAAUUCAGAGCCUGGCUGAGUCCAGCUUCAUGUCUGGAGGAGCUGAAUUUCCCAAGGCUGGUGCUUCACCAUUAACUGAUGCAGAAGAAAUUAGAAUUCCUCUUUCCCUUUCACAUAAUGGCAGAAUUCUGAAAUUAUUGUGUAACAUGCCCUUCCUCCCAUUACACGGUCUUCAUUCUGUUCACCAUUAUUUUUAAUAGACCAAUUUUCUCUCUUGCUUUUCAUCCACCGAGUCUUUACUAUUAUUAUCAUCAAAGUGUCUGUGGGCUGCCAGCAUUUGAUAUUUCAUUUCACUGAUUUAAUUAUGUCUGCAGCCUGUUCUGGGGCUGUUUAUUUUUAUAGAUCUCCGAAUCCUCUUCUUUAUCAAAUUGUUUACAUCUGAAUCCAUUUGUUCACUGUUUAUAUGUCACUUUGCAAUUGUAUCCUUUUGUACUUUGCAUUUGUUCCUGAGGGGUGUUUUAGUUUGAUCAAAUUUUACAACUUUGCAGGCAGACAACUAAAAGGAGAUCUUCCUAUCUAGGGGUGAAAGGCAGCUCUGGACACAGCUAACACCAUCUGCUUUUUCACUUUAUGCUUCCUGUGGGCAUAUGUGAGCAUGGAGCCACGUCUGUUACCAGCUAUUGGGAACUGACAGCUCAUGGGAAGCUGGCAGAGUGUUAGAUUAAAGGAAGAGAUGUUUUACACACCUUGCUCUUCCAUGUGCAGUUUACAUAGGGUAUAAAUACAUAGGUAAUGUAGGGUAUAUGUAAACAGGGUGUUUACUGAGCUUAGUUUAGUUUCCAAAGAAUGGAGGUUCUUUGGCUCUGGGCAGCCUGGUCUAGAGGCUGGCAACCCUGCCUGUGGCAGGGGGGUUGAAUAUAGAUGAUCUUUGAGGUCUUUUUCAACUUUUCAACCCAGGCCAUUCUAUGAGUCUGUGACGCUUUACUGCAGAGGGUUGCAGAAGAGGAUGACAGCUUUGAAUUUUGCUGACUGACCUCCUGUCACUGCAACUACUUUAGUAGUGGUGAUGCACGUAUGCGUGCACGUGCUGUAGUUCUGUUGAGUUUCUUGCUUCUACUAUAAUUAAGAGUCCAUAAAUAAGUGCUUCUAAUGCACUUGACUAGAGAAAGUAAUUGCUAUUUAAAUGGAUAAUUUAUUGUGUGCUAAUUAAAAGCCCAAUAGGUGAGAACAUUUUAAUGAAAUGUAACUUAACUCAAUAAGGAGGUUUUUAAUAAUCAUUAGUUGCCUGAAAUAUACCUGAUGCAGCAGUUCUCUAAUGACAAGCUCUAAUUGAUGUUUUUAACAUGUAUUUAUUGUGGAUAAAUUGCUAUUUUGUUGUAUAUCUCUCUUUCCCUGUCUUUCAAAUGCACAGCUUCCCAGCUGGAGGCCCCAUUGUGCCUUAUUACAGUCUAUUCUUCCCUGCUUUGGCAACCCCUUUUGCUGGUCAACUCAUCUCAGUUACACUCGCAUGAAGCAGGAUGUGAGCAAACAGAUGUGGGGAGCUGCCAGUUUCUACCAAAGAAAAGGUGCUAGCUUUUAAUUUCAGUUGACUAUUAGAACGUACAGUAGAGAUCUGCCUUCUUUCCCUGUUUGACUUACAGUAUGAGGCAAAGAAACCCUCGAAGUGUCCAGGGUUCCAAGUGCUCAUCUUAGAGCAGAAUGAUUAUGCAAAAAUGGUAAACCUCAGUGUCUCUAGGUAAUAAAUUUCACUUUCAAAGAAGGAAGCUUAAGAACAGGCUGGAAAGUGAAUGUGCCUCACACAAUGGAGCAGCGUGCCAGCUUUGUUUGAAUUGAGCAACCUGGAAGAAUCUGAGCUGGGAACAAGUAGCAUCUGAUUUAAGGACUGAGAGAGUAGAUGGCUGAUUUUCUUCGCAAAAAUAGCAUGAGAAAGCUGUACUGACCUUUCCAGGAUGAGAGGUAAUGGCUUAAAUUGCCCCAAGGGAGGUUCAGGUCAGAUAUCAGGAAGAAUUUCUUCUCAGAGCAAUGAGGCAUUGGCACAGGCUGCCCAGGGAAGUGAUGGAGUCACUGUCCCUGGAGGUGUUCAGGAGAAGCAUAGAUGUGGCACUGAGGGACCUGGUUUAGUGGACACGGGGGGGAAUGGGUUCGUGGUUGGACUGGGUGAUCUUAGUAGUCUUCUCCAGCCUUUAUGAUUCCAUAAUUUCACUGUGCUUUUCUGGUGUCUUUUUCCAGCACUGGGCAAUGACUGUUCUUAUGUUUCUGAGAAUUUAAAGAAUGGUCUUCUGAGACUGAAAUGCACAGGACGUAGAGCGGAGGCUGUUAGUAGCUCUGGUGGGAUGGGGUAACCCUUAAAAAGUCACUGCACUUUCCUGGGCCUCCUUUUCCCCCACUGUUAAAUGGAGAUAACUACAUGUUUCCUUCAUGAAGCCAUUUGGUAUGUCUUGUUGAAAAAUCUAUAUAUAAGUGUUCAUCAUUUUUGUCACUCAGGCACUGAUAUAGGAAUUUCUGGAGCACUCCUACAUGUUGAGAAUCACACUGAUACUGUGGAUGAGAAUAUUAAAUUCUGGUGCUGAACCUGGCUAAUUUGAAAAUGACGUAUUUUUCUAGAGUGAUGCCUCAGAUGCAUCUUAUAUAAGAAAAUGAAUUACAUUUAUAGCUAGAAAGGACUGCAGGAUUUUAUGAUCAUCUCAGCACUCCUGUAUUUAGUAAAUUAUCUUGUGUUUGAUUAUGACAGGGUACCUCUUGGCUUAUGUCAAAGUUCUUGUUUCCUGGAGUUCUCCCUGUUUCCUGGAAACUAAACUCUGGUGGAAAGCAUUUGUUACUUUGGUUGUUUUUUUUUCUUUUUCUUUUUUUGGUCUGAUUUGUUUGUUUGGGUUUUUUUUUUUUUUUUUUUGUCUUUUAAGUCUAAACAACCCAUUGGUCCUACAGCUCUUUGGUUCCUGCCACUGAAAGGAGAUACCCAUAGAUUAAAUAGUUAAAUAUGAAACCCCCUUGGGGUUUGAUCUGAUGAAGAUGAUGCUUAUUUAGAGAAGGAGCAAAUACUUUAACAAGUACUAUCCUGAUGAACUAUCUAACUUGACUUCUGAGAAGUAACUAUUAAAUGGAGAGAAGAAACCAUGAAAUGUAAGAGCGAGUUUGAAUGCUGGUAUCAUAAUCUGAUCGUAGUCAUGCAUCAUAAUUAAAUGUUAAUUUAAUUGUGGGCUUCGGAUGUCAUGUUUGGAAUUCUCAGUUUCAAUCCAGUUUUUAUUAAACAAUGAAGAACCUUCUGAAGGAUUCAGAAUAACAGUUCAACAAAUCAAGUCAACAAACAGGGAUCCACUUUAAGGUAAGAAAGAGAAAAUAGUGGGCAAAAGCUGAUAGAGUGCACUGGAUGCAGGCAGAAUAGUCAGAGGAAAACCAAUAGGGCAUGAUUUGGAGAGACAGUAUCUUUCACACAACCAAUAGCAUUUGGAGAAAAUGAACAAGCUUUCAAGCACUUAAAUGCUUCCGCAGGUCUGGCAAAGAAAACAAAAAACUUGAAGCUUUGUCCGUCCUGUAAAGAAAUUAGCGUUUAACUUAAGAUAAUCACCUGGACAAUUAGGGAGACAAAAAGGUGAACUCCUUAGCCAUAACGGAGCAUCUGGGGAUACAAACAAAAAGUCAAGAGUUAAUGUGCCCCUGCAAGCCAGAGAGAGAGGGAGUGGGAGCUUAGAAAGAGCUCUUGGGAAAGGUGGGUACCACCAAACCGUUGCCUCUGCUGGCUCCACGGGUUUUAGUGCCUGGGAGAACUCUGAAUUUAAUGUCCCAAAUAUUUGAGUAGUGUCCUCUGGGGCAACUGGUACAUUAGGACUCAGAAAAUUAAUUGCCAGACUUGCACCUAAUUGUACAACAAAGCAGUAAACCAAUUCUGGAAAACCACAGUGAGGACUAAUUCAGAAGUGUCUUAACACAGAAUACGAAGAACGUUCUUUCCUCCUCUCAGCUCCAGAUUUCUACCCCAAAUGUUAAAGAAGAAACCUUAAACUUGUCUGAAUUACAAGCAAAACUGUCAGCCUCCCUCAAAAUGGGGAAAGAAAGUACUUCUGAAAUGCUUAUGCAUUAUAUAACAUGUACCCAUAUAUCAUUUAUACGGACAUUAGCAACUUGUGUUAUUUCCUCAUUUUGGAGGUGAUGCAUUAAAAGUGAAAAUGCCACUACUGCCAUUUUCUUCUUACAUAAAGCAGCUUUGUGUCUACAGUGCCUGUGUGCAGAUCUUCUCCAUGAUUUUCAAAAAGCUGAUUGAAGGCCAUUGCAGUAGCUUGGGUAGGGUGGCCAAACAGAUGAAGAUGGCAUAUAAAGAGCCUGGUUGGCAGCAAUGCCAAUUUCAUGCACAUGCCCUGCCUUGAUUAAAGUAGAGAUGUUUGCAUAUGUCUUGUGUCCAAAGGCAUUUUUGAUGCACAUCUCCUGCUGAGCCAGCAAAGCUCCUCUCACGCCUAUUGCUUUUGCAUAGCAGAUACACAUUAAUGGAAGCAGUCAGAGCAUGCAUCUACCUGGUUCAUAAUUUGCACAUCUCUGGAAAUAUCCUUAAAAUGCAGACGAAGUUUAAAAAGAAAUAGUAGAGAGUUGCAAAAAAUCCAGAUUAACAGUUGAAAGUUGAAAUAGUUUAUCCUCUUACACAGGGGUAUUAAUUACAAAGCGUAUCUUCAGUCUCAUUUGCAGAGUUUCCCUUUCGCUAUCUGGAACCUGAAGCAGUAGAUUAAUGAGAGAGGCUGGGAAGGUGCCACCUUGUAAGGAGCUGCAUGGAAACGAACCACUUAAAAGGCACAAACAAGUUUUAUUGCAACUGUCAAACCUAGGAACCAUGUAAUGUCCUACUAUAGAAUAUACUGUAACUAAUGAACUAUUUACACACAUUUAUUGUGCUGUUGUGUUUUGUUUUCAGAUGUCCAUAUGUAAGAAAACAUUUUGAAUUUUCUGCUAAAGAUAUCCAAAUUAACAUCUAAAGGAGUUUUUCCCCCCUUUUUAUAUUGUCUCUGGGUUAUAUGGGUGCUGCGAGGCUGCUCAGCCCAUUCUGUAGAGAUUCCUGCAUAAAUGUUAUUAAUAGAGUGCAGGAGAGGAUGAUAGAUAUGAGUCUUACAGAAAUGAAGCUAAUACUGAGACUCACUGUUUUCAUUUCCUUGUGCUUUUGCAUUUCAAUUUCAUAGCACUGAAACUCUUGGUGGGCAUAGUGUAGAUGGAUGGGUUGAUGGUGGAACUGGAAGAUCUUGGUGGUCUUUUCCAACCUUUAUGAUUAUUUGACUCUGUGACUUCAGAGAGGACAAAACACCACUCCUAUUCACAAUGAAGGAGCCACCUCCGAUAGCAAGGCUUUGCCACCACCGCGGGACACCGAGUGCCGUGAGCGGUGCUGAACUGAGCAAUGAGGAGGAGAUGGCUGCACACAUAGCAUGGAAGCUUUGACUUUAUGGUGUCUCCAACUCAGAAAAGCCUGCUUGUGGACCCAAAGCCCAGAGGAGAUACUUGCUAUAACUGCCUAUAAAAGGAGAAUGUGGAUUGAUGCAAACUCCACUGACAUGGAUGGGAUUCUUUCUUUGUGAUUCAGUGAGCUUUGGAUCAGUUCUGGAGAAGGAAAUUGAACAGUUAUCAAGCAAAUCUAGUCUUACAUAAACAAAAAUGCCUCCUACAAAAUCCAGAGGGCAUGCUGUCAUCCAGCACAAGUCUCACCUAUCAAAAAGGAAAAACGUACUGAACUGAGGGAUCCAGCAUGGAACGAGAUGACAGGUGAGGCACAGCAACACAAAUAGGCAGCAGUGAAUUGGACAAAUCUGCCACCUGCAAGCAGAGAGCAUGAGCUCAGCUAGUGCAAGAAUCUGGUGGCUCUGUGCUGCCCUGCUGGAAGGUCUCCUGACGCCUCCGGACUCCUGCUUCCCUGUAACCACUCCAGUCUCUUCCUGUCACAAUGAAAUCAUUCCUGCUGCAGUGAAGGGAUUAAUUAGGUCUACCAGUACUUCACUACCCUCAAUCCUAACUGAAAAUCAGACAGCUUUUCCUGUUUCGCACGUCUGUGCUCAGAGAUGUGACUGACCUAACGCUUGGCACCUUAGAAAAAUCAUGCCCCAGUGUGGAUCAAGACUCAGGAAACAAAUCCUCUCCAUAACUGCGCAGAGCAGGGCAUAAGCUAAUGCCAGAAUGAUGUGAUGCUUGACGCUUUGACCUUGCUUUCUGUGCAAGACUCUCCAAGCUUCAUACCACUGGGAGCGCAUCAUUUGUGACGAGCAAAAAAGUCAGAGCAACUGGUUCUUAAAAGAUUUGUCAUAGUUUUGCUUUAAAAAUAAUUCAUCUCAUAGCUGAAUUCAGUAUUUUGGGUCAGUUAUAAUUGAAUCUGCUCAGACAGAGAAGUUAUAUGAGACUAAUUACCUACUGUCUCUACUCGAAGUAAAUAUUAAAGGCAAGAAAAAUAAACAUGGGCUGAAGUGUGAUAUGCAAAUCACAUUGAUAACUAUCAGGUUAAGACCAUGAAUUUAUAUUCUUUUAAUCAUUAUGAGGUUUAGAUGGUAUCUCCAGCAAAGAAAAGUCAGUAUGAUGGUAUAUGACUGUCUAUGAUUUGGUCCCUAAUUGCAAACAACAAAAAUACAUUAACCUGCUUGUAUCCUGUGUCUCAUUAUUGUCAUAAAAAUGAUAAGAAAAUUCCUUCUUUGUGAAAUCCAAGCUGCUUUACUCUUUUCAAGGACUGCUUUUGUAAGAAAGGAGAGUAAGGCUUAGGUCACUUAUACUGAAUAUAAGGUAGAGGGAGAUGUUUCAGAAGCAGAGCACUUUAAACAUCUUUAUUCCUACCAAAGUUAAUAAAGUGAAGCCAAUUCUGAGCACUUCUUCAAGCUGCAAUGGAUUUGCUAUUAGUUUUCCUGCAUGAAAAUAUGAUGAAGAACAUAAUUGGAGAAAAGAUAGUUCGAGAAAUAACUUCACAAUGGCAUUACUCUCAAAGAAAAGACAAAAUCAAAAUAUCCUGGGUCUGGUUAAGGCAGGCAAGGACUUAAAAUGAGACUGGGCAUGAAAGGGAUGGAGAAAAGAAUGGGGUGUAAGUUAUGACAUUUUCACCUUUUCAUAUGCAAAUUCUUGAUGAAAAAUCCUUAGAAAAAGAAGCUAGAGUAACUUUCAAAGAUCAGAACUACCUUCUUUUCCUUUUCUCCUUUUUCCUUUUCCUUCCUUUUUUUAACUUUUUUUUUUUUUUUUAAACUUUUCUUCUCUGUUCCUGCAGGGAAGUGUUUAUAGGGACACAUGAGAUCCUGACAGACAUUUCCACUGACCCUCUUACAUGAGAUUUGGCUCAACCGCUCUCCUCUAAGACGGUCUGUGAUUUUGGCAGCCCGAGGCCCAGGGUCCCUUCCAGGGCUGCUGGGCCUGCAGCCACCAUACUGACAUUGGCCCCUUGUAACUGGGAACAGUUAGUGGGAGCUCCUAAAAAUACACAGAAGCAAACAAGGAGCUAAUGCUGCUGCUUUGUGCUCAGAGAAGAUGCAUUAUUCAUACAGUACAUAGACAAAAUAGAGAGAAGAUGCCUGGCAAAGCCCCCAGAAUGGCUUAGUUACCCUCGAGUAAAAACUUCUAUUUGUUGAGUAGACUCCAUAAAUAUAGCAGGACUCCUGAAAUGUCCAGAUGUUUCUGAGCAGAUGAAGAAUGUUCUCUUUCUGAAAGCUUACUGAAUUUUUUAUUAUCUCAUGCACUGUUUGCGUGGGCAGGUCUUCUGAGUGAGUCAGAGCAAACAGCAAUCACUGCUGCAGGUAUCCAGCGAGAGAGGACAAUUCCUUAACCUGGGAGCUCCUAAAGAGGUCCUAACGUGCAGAGUGCUGAUACAUACACAGAAAAUAAUCACUGAAUCAAUGAGCUAAACUUCUCUGAGGGACCUUAACGUAGCCGUGCUGUAAAGAAAGGAUUACUUAGCAUUGAUAGCCAUGCCCUCAGAUAUAGCCGUGGUGGUGUGCUCUCAGGCACACAGACCUCGCUCUUCCAUGGGAGACACAAUGCCAUAGGAAGAUUCUGGAGUUAAGGCAGAUAUUGAGUUAGCCCUCUCUAUUGAAUUGGAGUUUUUGCAGAUGGGAAAUAGUUUCUUCUCCAUGGUAAUUCUUUAGUAAUGCCGCUCCACUUGGACCAAUUUAAACUGGAAGAAAAAGGUCUGCCUGUGAUAUCUCUGCCUCAGUAGGACAGCAUGACCAGAUUUAUAUCUUUACCUUGCAUUUUUGUCCGGAGGGCUUACGCUUUCAUCUGAUUAUGCUCUCUCUUGUGAGAUUCUCUCUAUGCUUAAAAUAGAAAAUACCACUAACCCCAGGACUGCUGAUAGGGCCGGAGUGCCUCCAAACAGCAGUCUUCUGCGUUCACUCUCCCUUACACCAACCCUGCAUCUUCUCUAUUUCUGCUACUACCACCAACUUAGUGCCAGCCAUAUGUAUUUAAGGGGUUGAGCUGGCUUCCUUGACUUGAUAAUCAAUGUGUGAUUAUUUUGUGGUUUUCCAUGUGGAUUUUAGUUUCUCCAGUUCCUGCUUCUAUUGCACACUAAAGAUUUCAUUUACUCGAAUGCUGCUUUUGUAUGCUUUCUUUAUGGAGCAUAAAAGAACCUAGAAUGAUUUUUGAGUGUGUCUAUACGCUUGUUAUAUGUAUUUGUUCAUGCUUUUCUGAAGCUACACACACCUGCACGUAUAUAUGUAUUUACAUUCCUGUAACUGUGUGUAACCAAAAUGAGAUGAUGAGCUGAUGAAGACCACCAGCAAAUAAUAUAAAAUAAUAUAGUAGUGCAACCUUAAUGCAGUGUUCAGAGUUGCACCUUGACUCCAGCCAGGACUGAUCAGACUCUGCUUAGUUCUGAAACAUCAGUCACUGUGUAUGACAGCCUCCCUCACCCCUUCUCUCCCUUUGCUCUUGUAAUGCAUCCUUGCAUGUAAGCCAGCUUGAGCAGCUGGAAGCUUGACUGCAACCUAACCCCAUUUUGAAUCAUGCCCAAGAUGCAACAGCCAGAUUUCUUACUGCACUAUUUUAAAGCAUAGAUGCAAGAGGCAUCGGCAUCUAUGUUUUGUGGCCCAGCAAAUGUCAUGGCAAGGCAAGUGGGAUGGAUGGCUCCUCCCCAGGUGCAGGGUUGCAAAUCCAGUUCACCCCUUCCCUACCCCUCAAGCCAUGUGGCAGGCUGUCUGGAAGCAUAGCAUUGUUCAUCACAUUAAUGUUCAGCUGUCGUGGAUGUGAAGAGGAAGUCAAGGGCUCACAGAACAGAAGAGAUGGACAGAGCAGACCUUUGAGGAGGAACAGCUUUGCAGCUUAGCAGUCAGCACACGACCUGGGGAAAGCCAACAAGGAGCUGGGAGCACUUCUUAGACACACAACAUUAAAAAGCUGUUACGUAAAACCCAGAAACCAUGCAGGGUCAAGAGGCAGGACCUGAAGUUUCUCUUGCCAGCCCUGUGCUCACCUUCAUCUUCCCUGCAUCAUCACUGAUAGCUCUCCUGUCUCUGUGCAGUAAGGUGCCCUUGCCAGGAUAUCUGUCAUUUUCAUCAGUUCCCAUCGCUCAGCUCUUCAAAACUUCCUACUAGUGUCAUUUAGGCUCUCUCCUUCUCAUUGGCUCCUUCUAGCUGCUAACAUAUACCAGCAAUUUUCACAGUCGCCUGCUUUCCAUCUGUUACAGUUUCACUGAUGUUUUUUUGUCUGACUUCCUCUAUGAUCUCAGCUUGCUUUUGUUGAAGUUAUACACUUUUCCAUCCUUGCUGUGAGUUUUUGGAUUUUUAGGCAUCAAAUAAAAAAUCUCUAAACAGUUCUUAACCACAUUUCACCCUAUUUCAGUUACAUCUCACAGAUGAUUCAAUUCAUAACAGCUUUCGGUUUGGUGACU
rnacentral:lncRNA from 1 species